rnacentral:rRNA from 1 species
GAUGAACGCUGGCGGCGUGCCUAAUACAUGCAAGUCGAGCGAACCGAUGAGGAGCUUGCUCCUCUGACGUUAGCGGCGGACGGGUGAGUAAAACGUGGAUAACCUACCUAUUAGACUGGGAUAAAUUCGGGAAACCGGAGCUAAUAACCGAUAAUAUAUUGCAUCGCAUUGUUCAAUAGUGAAAGACGGUUUUGCUGUCACUUAUAGAUGGAUCCGCGCCGCAUUAGCUAGUUGGUAAGGUAACGGCUUACCAAGGCAACGAUGCGUAGACGACCCGAGAGGGGAGUCGGCCAGACGGGAACUGAGACACGGUCCAGACUCCAAGGGGGGGCAGCAGUAGGGAAUCUUCCGCAAGGGGGGAAAGCCUGACGGUGCAACGCCGCAUAAUGAAUGAAGGUCUUAGGAUGUUAAAACUCUGUUAUUAGGAAAGAACAAAUGUGUUAGUAACUAUGCACGUCUUGACGGUACCGGAUCAGAAAGCCACGGCUAACUACGUG